rnacentral:misc_RNA from 1 species
AUUACCGAGUGAGGGGUCCCUUGAGGGCCCAACCUCCCACCCGUGUUUACGUAUACCAUGUUGCUUCGGCGGGCCCACUGGGGCCUCGUCUCUGGUCGCCGUGGGGGAAACCCCGGGGCCCGUGCCUGCCGGAGACCUUUUCAAAACUCUGUGAAAUAGUGAGUUGUCUGAGUGAUAGUUAUCAAUAGUUAAAAAACUUUCAACAACGGAUCUCUUGGUUCUGGCAUCGAUGAAGAACGCAGCGAAAUGCGAUAAGUAAUGUGAAUUGCAGAAUUCCGUGAAUCAUCGAAUCUUUGAACGCACAUUGCGCCCCCUGGCAUUCCGGGGGGCAUACCUGUCCGAGCGUCAUUUCUUCCCUCAAGCACGGCUUGGGUGUUGGGUGGUGUCCCCCUGGGGGAUAGUCCCGAAAGGCAGUGGCGGCAUCACGUCCGGUCCUCGAGCGUAUGGGGUUCUAUCACUCGCUCUAGAGGUCAUGUCGGUGCCUGCCUUGAACUCCUGUUAUCUAUCAAGGUUGACCUCGGAUCAGGUAGGACUACCCGCUGAACUU